rnacentral:rRNA from 1 species
AGACGUCCCGAGCGUUGUUCGGAUUCACUGGGCGUAAAGGGUGCGUAGGUGGUGGGGUAAGUCGGAUGUGAAAGCUCGGAGCUCAACUCCGAAAUGGCAUUGGAAACUACCCUGCUGGAGGUUUGGAGGGGGGACUGGAAUACUUGGUGUAGCAGUGAAAUGCGUAGAUAUCAAGUGGAACACCAGUGGCGAAGGCGAGUCCCUGGACAAAACCUGACACUGAGGCACGAAAGCUAGGGGAGCAAACAGGAUUAGAUACCCUGGUAGUCCUAGCCGUAAACGGUGCUUGCUUGCUGUAAAAGGAAUCGACCCCUUUUGUGGCGAAGCCAACGCGAUAAGCAAGCCGCCUGGGAAGUACGGUCGCAAGAUUA